rnacentral:lncRNA from 1 species
GAUGGGUUAGAUGGAUGGCUAUCUGGUAAAGCUGUGGCUUAUCACCCUGGAGGAUCUGGGUUGGCCUGCACUUCCAAUUUUUCAGGAGUGGACUGGGUCUGGCCCAUUGAACCCAUCCUUCAACCUUCUGGUUGAUCCCAUCAUGGGUGUUGGCCAGCCUGUGAUGGGCUUAAUAAAUGGUCGCUGUCAGAUAAAGUUUAUCCCUUGUGCAAUGUGAUGGUUUACCUAUAAUAACUUAAUUUAAUCUAUUUGGGAAUACGAUAUGUUGAUUUCCUUUGCAUAGAUAGAAUAGAGCAAUAACAUUAAUUAAUUAUGAUUUUCUUAACCAACUACAUGACCUACAGUUAGAUUUGGAUCUUCUAGAUUUUAUUUUCCUUUGAAAAUACUUUAUACAGCUUAUUUACACUAUGACAUUUUCUAAUAUAUAAUUUUUCUUCAAUAAAAUAUUGUAAAUAGUUAUUAUAUUA